UUUAAUGACUGGGACCACAAACAGACAUAAUGCCUUCAAACAAACUUGUUUGUAGCCAAGUGCAUUUGGAUUAUCAUUUUUAAGUAACUGAAAGUAUGAAAGAAAGACAAAUAGGGAGUAAAAGAAGAAACAAAAGAAAAGGUAAAGUCUUGGACGCACAAGCUGUGUCUACCACAAAUGGUCAGGCACCCAGAAUACUGCAUGAUGCAAUAAAUUUUCAAAAGACUGAUAGAACAUAUAAAUCUGGUCAUAAAACCUGAUAUCAGAAAUGGCAAAAUAGGUCUGAUAGGAAAAUGUGAAUGUAAAUGGCUUUCCAUCAGUGUUUGUAUUUCGAAUUCGAGAUGUCAACAUCAGAUCUCCUCCAGGUCCCAGAGUUACCCUUAGACGAAACUCAUAUCUGUGAGGCCAGUUUUUAACGCCUUCUUCAGAAUGUUUAAGUAUCAAAUCAAUGAAGGCCUUGUUGGAACUACUUGUCCCAAAAGGUGGGGGAUCAGGAUCAAUGCACCAUUCCCUGAUCCUUGCAAAUCCACAUUGCUCAAGAGAACUGUGACUUCCAAAUUGAGGAAAACAAAUUUGGACACCUCCAUUAAUUACUUUCAGGUGCUUAAAAGUAGCCUUGUUACUGACAAAAAGCAAUUCUUCACCAUGUUCAUUCUUCCAAGAUGUCACUUGGCCUCCAUACAGGUACACCUCAGCAGAGAAGCCACGAACCUCUCUGAGAAUAACCUUGUCAAGGCCAUUAACGCCCUUGCACCUCUCCACAUACUGACACGUUGUCUUCUCUGCCAUCCCUUCACAUUCUUUUUCUCUCUGGUUCUCUCAAACUCUGUUAAAGGUGAGGUUCAUAUGCAAAUGCUAGACUCAAUGGCAUUGGCACCCACAGUGCGAGUGUGUGCACCUUCCACCACUUUAAAUUCCAAAGGCGCCCUCUACUCUAUUUUAAACCAUAACCAAAUUUAAGCCAUGCUUCUGUUCUGUCCAUCCAAAUUGUUCAUCUUUACAUAUUCAUUUGAAUCGAAAGCAGGAAUUUAAGGAUUUGCAUGGUGGCCCAAGCCCAAUUUUGAUCAAUCUCGAAUUACUAGGGGAUUCAUUAGAAAAAGAAAAUGGAAAAUUCUCACUUCUUUUAAGAAUGUUUAUUGCUUCCUAUACACAAUUUUCAUCAAACAUGCUUUGAAUAAUAUAUUGGAAACAUUCUUGAAAAUUUCUCUGUUCAUUUAGUAAUUUUAAUUAAUGCAAUUAAAAUUCAUUUGUCUUAUAAUUUUUCCUUCUAAAUCAGAUUAGCAUUAUUUUAUGACUAAUUAAUAUUAAAUUUUAGCACUCCAAAUAUAAAGUACAUGUUAGUAAAAAUAAUUAUACUU
rnacentral:misc_RNA from 1 species